CCUACGGGCGGCAGCAGUGGGGGAUAUUGCACAAUGGGCGAAAGCCUGAUGCAGCAACGCCGCGUGAAGGAAGAAGGCUUUCGAGUCGUAAACUUCUGUCCAAAGGGAAGAAAAGAUGACGGUACCUUUGAAGAAAGCCCCGGCUAACUACGUGCCAGCAGCCGCGGUAAUACGUAGGGGGCGAGCGUUAUCCGGAAUUACUGGGCGUAAAGAGUAUGUAGGUGGUUUAGCAAGCGUAGGGUUUAAGGCGACAGCCCAACUGUCGUAUGCCCCGCGAACUGUUAGACUUGAGUACAGGAGGGGAAGGCGGAAUUCCUAGUGUAGCGGUGAAAUGCGUAGAUAUUAGGAGGAACACCGGUGGCGAAGGCGGCCUUCUGGACUGUAACUGACACUGAGAUACGAAAGCGUGGGUAGCAAACAGGAUUAGAUACCCUGGUAGUC
rnacentral:rRNA from 1 species